CCUACGGGUGGCAGCAGUAGGGAAUAUUGCGCAAUGGGCGAAAGCCUGACGCAGCGACGCCGCGUGAGGGAUGAAGGUCUUCGGAUCAUAAACCUCUGUCAGCAGGGAAGAACGGUCACUGUGCUAAUCAGCAGUGAAUUGACGGUACCUGCACAGGAAGCACCGGCUAACUCCGUGCCAGCAGCCGCGGUAAUACGGAGGGUGCGAGCGUUAAGCGGAAUUAUUGGGCGUAAAGCGUGCGUAGGCGGUAUGUCAAGUCAAGGGUGAAAUCCCCGGGCUCAACGGGGGAACUGCAUUUGAAACUGGCGAACUUGAGUGUGUGAGAGGAGAGUGGAAUUCCAGGUGUAGGAGUGAAAUCCGUAGAUAUCUGGAGGAACAUCAGUGGCGAAGGCGACUAUCUGGCACAUAACUGACGCUGAGGAGCGAAAGCGUGGGUAGCAAACAGGAUUAGAUACCCCUGUAGUC
rnacentral:rRNA from 1 species